UACGGAGGGUGCAAGCGUUAAUCGGAAUUACUGGGCGUAAAGCGCGCGUAGGUGGUGAUUUAAGUCGGAUGUGAAAGCCCUGGGCUCAACCUGGGAACUGCAUCCGAUACUGGGUCACUUGAGUAUAGUAGAGGGUUGUGGAAUUCCAUGUGUAGCGGUGAAAUGCGUAGAUAUGUGGAGGAACAUCAGUGGCGAAGGCGGCAACCUGGACUAAUACUGACACUGAGGUGCGAAAGCGUGGGGAGCGAACAGG
rnacentral:rRNA from 1 species